AACGAACGCUGGCGGCAUGCCUAACACAUGCAAGUCGAACGAGACCUUCGGGUCUAGUGGCGCACGGGUGCGUAACGCGUGGGAACCUGCCCUUAGGUUCGGUAUAACUCCCCGAAAGGGGUGCUAAUACCGGAUAAUGUCUUCGCACCAAAGAUUUAUCGCCAUUGGAUGGGCCCGCGUUGGUUUAGCUAGUUGGUAGGGUAAAAGCCUACCAAGGCGACGAUCCAUAGCUGGUCGGAGAGGAUGCCCAGCCACACUGGGACUGCGACACGGCCCAGAAUCGUACGCGAGGGAGCAGUGGGGAAUAUUGGACAAUGGGCGAAAGCCUGAUACAGCAAUGCCGCGUGAGUGAUGAAGGGCGUAGGGUUGUAAAGCUCUUUUACCCGGGAUGAUAAUGACAGUACCGGGAGAAUAAGCUCCGGCUAACUCCGUG
rnacentral:rRNA from 1 species